rnacentral:lncRNA from 1 species
CUUAGAGGCUAACUGUUAGCACAGACUAUCUCCAGUAGGAGCUGAUGAAUGAGAGAAAGGAACGUUUCCUGGAAAGAGUUGUGGAGAAGAAGCACACUGCAAAGAACAGGGACAGGAAGUGCCUUGAGCUCAGUUAUUGUUUGGAAAGGCAUUCACAUUUUCUUUUUGCCCAGCACAUUUCCAAAAUACAAUCCAGAGAAGAGAGACAAAUGUUACCCACCUUCCCAGAGCAGCCAGGACUGGUGUGAGCUCAGGGCCUGUCAAGCCCCCUGCCCUAACACUGUGUAUUUAUUCAGAAGGAAAACCAUCAAAGAACUCCAUAACCAACUAAAAGGACAAGGAGAACUGCAGUUCAGAGGACAUUAUCUCCAUGAGAAAAUGGAACAUUUUCUUCUUCAGUAGUGAUUACUCACUAAAACCAUGACCCUGGAGAGUGUGCCACCUUGCCACCGUGACUAUAGCACCAAUGUCCAUGGCACAGACACAUAGAGAGGUGCACACUGUGGUGUGAAGCCAUUUCCCAGCAUCAGGAAAAGCCUGUGUCCUGGAGCUGCACAUCUAUGUUUCCUGGUAGACACAGCCCAGGAUGGAAAGUCCUCUCUGUCCUUCACCCAAGCUUGUUGCAUGUCCUCCCAGCCAGAGAUCUUGGGAAUGGAUUCCUCUCUCUUAUGUCAUGGAGAUCCCCAUCCAACACAAUUUCUAGAAGAACUCUAGCAAUUUCCAUACCACCCUCCGGCCAGGCCUGUGAUUUGCUUAACCUCCAGGAACAAUCAUGUUCUGGAGAGCUACAGCAAUAUCCUAGUAGACAAUGCAUGAGGGUUUAUUGCUUUGGAUAGGGAUCAGUAACAUUUUCAACCUGCUUUGCCCCUUUUAACUCUGUGCUUAAUUUAUUCUGUAUUAUUUAUAGGCAGGUAGGUUUGCACAUUCAUAAAACGUUCAGUUUCCUGUUAUGUCUAGAGAACUGGUAGGAGGUAUGGCAAAUAUAUUCGAAGCAGCUCAAAUCUCCUAUGUGGUUUCCAUUGAGUGAAAUAUUCAUCACUUCCUGUCCUAAACUCAGUGAAGCACUGCCAAUAUUUUAAAGAGGAUCCCACAGAAAUGUCUCCUUCUUCUCUCCUUAUGUCUAUGCCUUCCUUUCCUUCCUUCCUUCCUUCCAUCCAUCCACCAUCCAUCCAUCCAUCAAUCUCUGGAAGGGGUCCUCAUCACUUACCCCCACUAAAACUAGGUAAGCCAUGUCAUUCAAGAGAAGUCCACUCUAUGGUCACACACUUGCA